rnacentral:rRNA from 1 species
CUGGAAGGAGUUUUCGGACAACGGAAGGUGAGGACAGUGGCGGACGGGUGAGUAACGCGUGAGGAACCUGCCUUUCAGAGGGGGACAACAGUUGGAAACGACUGCUAAUACCGCAUGACACAUAGAGAUCGCAUGGUUUUUAUGUCAAAGAUUUACCGCUGAAAGAUGGCCUCGCGUCUGAUUAGCUAGUUGGUGAGGUAACGGCCCACCAAGGCGACGAUCAGUAGCCGGACUGAGAGGUUGACCGGCCACAUUGGGACUGAGGUACGGCCCAGACUCCUACGGGAGGCAGCAGUGGGGAAUAUUGGGCAAUGGGCGCAAGCCUGACCCAGCAACGCCGCGUGAAGGAAGAAGGCUUUCGGGUUGUAAACUUCUUUUGUCGGGGACGAGUAGAAGACGGUACCUGGCGAAUAAGCCACGGCUAACUACGUGCCAGCAGCCGCGGUAAUACGUAGGUGGCAAGCGUUGUCCGGAUUUACUGGGUGUAAAGGGCGUGUAGCCGGGAAGGCAAGUCAGAUGUGAAAUCCACGGGCUUAACUCGUGAACUGCAUUUGAAACUACUUUUCUUGAGUAUCGGAGAGGCAAUCGGAAUUCCUAGUGUAGCGG